GCUAAGAAUAAGUGAAGAGAGGAAGAUGACUAUUGAAGAGAGCCGUUGGUGACUAUUAUAAAAUUAGUUAGGCAAUUAAAUAAGUAUAAAACUUUUCAUAGUUUAGUUUUAAGUAAGCUUUACUUUUUAGCCUAUAAAUAGAGACCAGUCAACUUUUGUAUUUUUUAAUCGUGUGAUUCAAUCAAUAAAAUUUCUCUCUUUUUCCCCAGAAUGUGUGCUGUUGGUGAAUGUUCAAAUUCAAUCGUUUCAACAAUCCCAAAUGUCUUCGAUUUUGAUGCGUGGAGUUACUUUCUAAAAGUGAGUAGUCUCAGCUUCGAAUGUGCAAUUUUUGUCUUUUGGAGCUGCUUGAUUGUAAUUCAGUAUGGAAGAAAAAUGGCGGCAUGUGUGGAUUUAAGUUUUUACGUCUUCGGACUGUGUUUGAAGAGAACAGGUUUUAGUUAUUGUUGUGAAAUAGGAAAGGAAGAAUUAGUUUUGAUUAAGCAAAUUGGUUGGAUUAGAAUUGUGGGUGUGUAAAUGGAGUCUGUAGAAAUUGAUAAUAUGCAGUCCAUGAAUGGAGGAAACAGAAGGAAUUUUAUUGAUAGUAAAAUGAGGAAUACAAAGAUCAAACUCAUACAUCACACGAGCUCUCUAUUUAUAUCACACAUGACAUGAGCUCCAAAUAAAAUGGCAAUAAGGAAGCUCUCGACUUUGAGCAUGUUGGAUUUAGGAUUUACACGCAAACUUGAUUUCUGAAUUGCCAGAAUAUUGAGGAAAGAAAGCCCGCACACAAUUAGUCGUUAUGUUUCACUCAAGGAGCUUCACGCAGACUAUAUAAUAUAACCGGCUGAAAGCAGUAGGUCGGUCGGAUUGACAGUUGCCUAGCAAACUUAAAGAGAGGUCGACGUUGAGGCUGAGAGCUUGUGCUUUGAAGAUGAACAUAAGUAACAAUUUUGCAGACUUACAGUGUCCAUUGGAAAUCUUGAAAUGCUAGAGGAGUUCUCCCGGAUAUGAGCAAUAACAACCAGAUAAGGGUUCUCCCGGAUGUUGAAGGUUGAUGGGAAUCCUCUGACUGUGCCUCCGAGAGAUGUAAUCCACAAAGGAAGUCAAGCAAAACAAAUCUUGGGCACUGAUGCAUGGAAAGGGAAAUAGUAGGAUAAAGAAUAAACGCCGAGAGAAGCUUGGAGAAGAUGGACACGUGGCGUGAAGAUUAGUUAGUUAUGAGUUAGUUAGAACUUCCAUUUCAAGUUAGUUACGUAGUUAGUUAGUUAGCUCACAGCUAUAUAAGCUGUAGCUCCUUCAUUUGUAACUCUCAAUCAUCGAUAUUAAUGCAAGUUGCUUCUUCUUCCUCCCUCCCA